UGGGGAAUUUUGGACAAUGGGCGAAAGCCUGAUCCAGCAAUGCCGCGUGUGUGAAGAAGGCCUUCGGGUUGUAAAGCACUUUUGUCCGGAAAGAAAUCCUUGGCUCUAAUACAGUCGGGGGAUGACGGUACUGGAAGAAUAAGCACCGGCUAACUACGUGCCAGCAGCCGCGGUAAUACGUAGGGUGCAAGCGUUAAUCGGAAUUACUGGGCGUAAAGCGUGCGCAGGCGGUUUGCUAAGACCGAUGUGAAAUCCCCGGGCUCAACCUGGGAACUGCAUUGGUGACUGGCAGGCUAGAGUAUGGCAGAGGGGGGUAGAAUUCCACGUGUAGCAGUGAAAUGCGUAGAGAUGUGGAGGAAUACCGAUGGCGAAGGCAGCCCCCUGGGCCAAUACUGACGCUCAUGCACGAAAGCGUGGGGAGCAAACAGGAUUAGAUACCCUGGUAGUCCACGCCCUAAACGAUGUCAACUAGUUGUUGGGGAUUCAUUUCCUUAGUAACGUAGCUAACGCGUGAAGUUGACCGCCUGGGGAGUACGGUCGCAAGAUUAAAACUCAAAGGAAUUGACGGGGUCAUAGCUGUUUCCU
rnacentral:rRNA from 1 species